GUGGGGAAUUUUGGACAAUGGGGGCAACCCUGAUCCAGCAAUGCCGCGUGCAGGAAGAAGGCCUUCGGGUUGUAAACUGCUUUUGUACGGAACGAAACGGUCCUGGUUAAUACCUGGGGCUAAUGACGGUACCGUAAGAAUAAGCACCGGCUAACUACGUGCCAGCAGCCGCGGUAAUACGUAGGGUGCUAGCGUUAAUCGGAAUUACUGGGCGUAAAGCGUGCGCAGGCGGUUUUGUAAGACAGGCGUGAAAUCCCCGGGCUCAACCUGGGAAUGGCGCUUGUGACUGCAAGGCUGGAGUGCGGCAGAGGGGGAUGGAAUUCCGCGUGUAGCUGUGAAAUGCGUAGAUAUGCGGAGGAACACCGAUGGCGAAGGCAAUCCCCUGGGCCUGCACUGACGCUCAUGCACGAAAGCGUGGGGAGCAAACAGGAUUAGAAACCCCGGUAGUCC
rnacentral:rRNA from 1 species